rnacentral:rRNA from 1 species
AGAGUUUGAUCAUGGCUCAGGAUGAACGCUGGCGGCGUGCCUAAUACAUGUAAGUCGAACGGAAGAUGUAGCAAUAUGUCUUUAGUGGCGAACGGGUGAGUAACGCGUUGGUGACCUGCCCCGAAGAGAGGGAUAACAGACCGAAAGGUUUGCUAAUACCGCGUAAUUUCCUUCUAGUUAGAGAGGAGGGAAGAAAGGCCGAAAGGCGCUUUGGGAGGGGCCUGCGUCCCAUCAGCUAGUUGGCGAGGUAAAAGCUCACCAAGGCGAUGACGGGUAGGGGACCUGAGAGGGUGACCCCCCACAAUGGAACUGAAACACGGUCCAUACACCUACGGGUGGCAGCAGUAGGGAAUAUUGGUUAAUGGGCGAAAGCCCGACCCAGCAACGCCGCGUGCACGAAGAAGGCCUUCGGGUUGUAAAGUGCUUUUUAGUGGGAUGAGGAAGGACAGUACCACUAGAAUAAGUCUCGGCUAACUACGUGCCAGCAGCCGCGGUAACACGUAGGAGACGAGCGUUAUCCGGAUUUACUGGGUGUAAAGCGCGUGCAGGCGGUCGGGUAAGUUGGAUGUGAAAGCUCCUGGCUUAACUGGGAGAGGUCGUUCAAAACUGCCGGGCUAGAGUGCAACAGAGGGGAGUGGAAUUCCGAGUGUAGCGGUAAAAUGCAUAGAUAUUCGGAAGAACACCAGUGGCGAAGGCGGCUCUCUGGGUUGCAACUGACGCUCAGACGCGAAAGCUAGGGUAGCGAACGGGAUUAGAGACCCCGGUAGUCCUAGCCGUAAACGAUGUGGACUUGGCGUGGGUGGGUUGAAAUCCAUCUGUGCCGAAGCAAACGCGAUAAGUCCACCACCUGGGACUACGGCCGCAAGGUUAAAACUCAAAGGAAUUG